GAUGAACGCUAGCGACAGGCUUAACACAUGCAAGUCGAGGGGCAGCAUAGAAGUAGCAAUACUUUGGUGGCGACCGGCGCACGGGUGAGUAACGCGUAUGCAACCUACCUAUCAGAGGGGAAUAACCCAGCGAAAGUCGGACUAAUACCGCAUAAAACAGGGGCACCGCAUGGUGAUAUUUGUUAAAGAAAUUCGCUGAUAGAUGGGCAUGCGUUCCAUUAGGUAGUUGGUGAAGUAACGGCUCACCAAGCCGACGAUGGAUAGGGGAACUGAGAGGUUGGUCCCCCACACUGGUACUGAGACACGGACCAGACUCCUACGGGAGGCAGCAGUGAGGAAUAUUGGUCAAUGGGCGAGAGCCUGAACCAGCCAAGUCGCGUGAAGGAAGAAGGAUCUAUGGUUCGUAAACUUCUUUUGCAGGGGAAUAAAGUGCAGGACGUGUCCUGUUUUGUAUGUACCCUGAGAAUAAGGAUCGGCUAACUCCGUGCCAGCCGCCGCCGUAA
rnacentral:rRNA from 1 species